UGAACGCUGGCGGCGUGCCUAACACGAUGCAAGUCGAACGGGUUAAGGGAAGUUUCGGAUGGAACUUAACUAGUGGCGGACGGGUGAGUAACGCGUGGAUAACCUGCCUCACACUGGGGGAUAGCAGCUGGAAACGGCUGGUAAUACCGCAUAAGACCACGGUGCCGCAUGGCAACGGGGUAAAAGAUUUAUCGGUGUGAGAUGGAUCCGCGUCUGAUUAGCCAGUUGGCGGGUAACGGCCACCAAAGCGACGAUCAGUAGCCGGCCUGAGAGGGUGAACGGCCACAUUGGGACUGAGACACGGCCCAAACUCCUACGGGAGGCAGCAGUGGGGAAUAUUGCACAAUGGGCGCAAGCCUGAUGCAGCAAACCGCCGCGUGAGUGAAGAAGUAUUUCGGUAUGUAAAGCUCUAUCGGCAGGGAAGAAAGGCCCGAAAGGGAGAUGACGGUACCUGACUAAGAAGCCCCGGCUAACUACGUGCCAGCCGCCGC
rnacentral:rRNA from 1 species